UACGAAGGGUGCAAGCGUUACUCGGAAUUACUGGGCGUAAAGGGCGCGUAGGCGGCUUAACAAGUCACUUGUGAAAUCUCCGGGCUUAACUCGGAACGGCCAAGUGAAACUGUUAUGCUAGAGUGCAGAAGGGGCAAUCGGAAUUCUUGGUGUAGCGGUGAAAUGCGUAGAUAUCAAGAGGAACACCUGAGGUGAAGACGGGUUGCUGGGCUGACACUGACGCUGAUGCGCGAAAGCCAGGGGAGCAAACGGG
rnacentral:rRNA from 1 species